rnacentral:misc_RNA from 1 species
CCUCUGUAAGCCUAGUGAGCCACAACGAAGCCAUAGAACAAAAUUCAGCGAGAUUGGGUGGUGAUAUUGCAGUGAUCAGAUGCACUUUAAUUUAGAAGUCAUGGAAAAGCAUAAUAGCAUCGUCAAGCUUCAUCUGUGAGGACUCCAUCAAAAUUCUCAUUUUUUUAAGUUUCUCGUAUUUAUCUUUCAUCGGCCCCUCGCGUCUAUCAAUGGGCAGAUUUACAAUCUCCUUUUGCUGUUCUAGCUCAUAAGCUACUCGAAGACUCAAAUUUAAGGCAGCAUGGAACAGCUCAUCCAGUACAUGUUCCCAAAGAACAAGCUUAUUUACCUUCCACAACAAGAAAGUUGCUGUUCCCACAACUAAUUUCUCCAUAAGCAAGUAGUCAUCCUGCCACAGCUUAUAAAGAAUCUUAGUUGUU